rnacentral:lncRNA from 1 species
GUUGCCUUCAAGGACACUGGGAAAAUGUUGUUUUGUUUUUUCCUCUUGUAUUCCAGAAUCCUAAAUUUAAGAGACCAUUCUGCCAAAUCCUCAGUUUGCUUAUGAAAAAACAGAGCUUCAGGGAGGGUCCUGCCCCUGUGCUUUAAUAAGCCACCAUUUUGCACCAAAAACAUCUCAAAAUGCUUUCUUGGUCAUCGGCUCCGGACCUCAUCCCACCAAACCUCACUUGUAUUCUAAAACUUCAUCAUUUGGCGCCCAAACAUGGGGCUUUGAGUAUUUACAUCUGGACUCUGAGCUUCGGUUCAGAAUUGGUGAGUACUUCUCUCCUUUUACUCUCAUUUCAGGGGGGCUCUUCAAGGGAUUUGGUUUUAUUGGUACACUUUCACGUCGAUUACUCAGGCUGUAUCCUCUAGCCCAUGGCUACUUUACUGGGAAAAGAAAGCCUGCCUUUUGUCUGGAAGUUAGUACCCUGGCCAGAAUGGUAAUAAGACCCAGAAACUCGAUGCCCUCUUUCAGCUCCUGUUCUUGCACAAAGUUGUCUGUCUUGGGCAUGGGUCAGCCACUUAAGUCACCGGGACCGCUGCCAAUCUUAAGACUCCUUUGUGAGGUUUUCUCCUGACUGAUCUAAUGUGUUCCCCUCCACAUCACUGGUCUAGCCUCUUCAGGCCAUGGGACCUCCACUGAGAGCCAGCUGAAACCAGUACCCGAUUGAAUUAAAACCUAGGAACCAUUUCCUAGGAAAAGCUGGGUAUAAGGAGCACGUGUGUUGGAAUGUUGCUUUUAGAACAUGAUGGAUUUCAAUCUUUACUGUUUCUUGUCUGUGUCCCCUCCUAUUUAAAUCUGCAAAAUUUAGUAAAACUUUUCUAGUAUUUUCCAUGGGUUAAAAUGGCAGGGCAGUAUGCAACCUUCAGGACAUAUGAUGGCACGGCAUGGUAUUUCAGUGCAGGCCCCCAUCUGUAGCCAAAGAUGGGAGUGUUGUGCCCGAGUUUGCACAUCUGAGAGACCACCAAGGAGCCAAGCACUGAUACAAUCACACGAGGGUUUAUUUGACAUGCUUAAGCUUGGGCCCAAGUAUACUCAACGCAGUGAGGUAGGGGCUUGGACCCUGAGUUUAGUUAAGGCAGGGUUAACCCCCCUGGAUCUCUGGAACUAAAGUAGGGUAGAACUUCCUAAAGUAGGGUGGAGGUCCUUAGAACUAAAGUAGGGUGGGUCUUCCUGAAACCAAAGUAAAG